rnacentral:rRNA from 1 species
AUUCCUACGGGAGGCAGCAGUGGGGAAUAUUGCACAAUGGGCGCAAGCCUGAUGCAGCCAUGCCGCGUGUAUGAAGAAGGCCUUCGGGUUGUAAAGUACUUUCAGCGGGGAGGAAGGUGUUGUGGUUAAUAACCGCAGCAAUUGACGUUACCCGCAGAAGAAGCACCGGCUAACUCCGUGCCAGCAGCCGCGGUAAUAAU